rnacentral:rRNA from 1 species
AACGAACGCUGGCGGCAUGCCUAACACAUGCAAGUCGAACGAGACCUUCGGGUCUAGUGGCGCACGGGUGCGUAACGCGUGGGAAUCUGCCCUUGGGUUCGGAAUAACAGUUGGAAACGACUGCUAAUACCGGAUGAUGACCUAAGUCCAAAGAUUUAUCGCCCAAGGAUGAGCCCGCGUAGGAUUAGCUAGUUGGUGAGGUAAAGGCUCACCAAGGCGACGAUCCUUAGCUGGUCUGAGAGGAUGAUCAGCCACACUGGGACUGAGACACGGCCCAGACUCCUACGGGAGGCAGCAGUGGGGAAUAUUGGACAAUGGGCGAAAGCCUGAUCCAGCAAUGCCGCGUGAGUGAUGAAGGCCUUAGGGUUGUAAAGCUCUUUUACCCGGGAUGAUAAUGACAGUACCGGGAGAAUAAGCUCCGGCUAACUCCGUG